AGAGCAGCAGAGUCCCGGAGGUUGCGCCCGGAGCAGCAUUCCCGGGAUAUUCCCGGGAUAUUCCCGGGAUAUUCCCCAUUCCCAGGGAACCUGGGGGAGCUCUGCCUUCCCAGGGCAUCCCAAAAGAAGCGCUGGAUCUCUCCCUGCACACAAAAACUCCCGCUGGGAAUUUCCCUUCCCUGUUUUCCACAGCUGCACCCCCUCGGCCGCGCAGACAGAUCGGAUUCCCCGAGAAAAUUCCAGAGGCGCUUCCAGUGUUUCAAAGGAAAAUGAAGCCCCUUUGGAAAUGUGAAGCUCCGAGAUAAUGACCGGAUCGCUCCAGGACUGGAUGGGAACAGAACCACUCUGGAUCUUCCAAACCACUGAUGGGGCCUUGUGGAUCCAAGGAAACACGACGGCCCCAUGGAAAUCCGUGGAAUAAAUUGGGAUAUCGCUCCUG